rnacentral:rRNA from 1 species
GAUGAACGCUGGCGGCGUGCCUAAUACAUGCAAGUCGAGCGGACGGACGAGAAGCUUGCGUCUCUGAUGUUAGCGGCGGACGGGUGAGUAACACGUGGAUAACCUACCUAUAAGACUGGGAUAACUUCGGGAAACCGGAGCUAAUACCGUAUAAUAUUUUGAACCGCAUGGUUCAAAAGUGAAAGACGGUCUUGCUGUCACUUAUAGCUGGAUCCGGGCUGCAUUAGCUAGUUGGUAAGGUAACGGCUUACCAAGGCAACGAUGCAUAGCCGACCUGAGAGGGUGAUCGGCCACACUGGAACUGAGACACGGUCAAGACUCCUGCGGGAGGCAGCAGUAGGGAAUCUGCCGCAAUGGGCGAAAGCCUGACGGAGCAACGCGGAGUGAGUGAUGAAGGUCUUCGGAUCGUAAAACUCUGUUAUUAGGGAAGAACAUAUGUGUAAGUAAAUGUGCACAUCUUGACGGUACCUAAUCAGAAAGCAACGGCUAACUACGUG